rnacentral:lncRNA from 1 species
UUACUGCUUUUGACAAUUGAGUAAAACAUACUCCUGUGAAUAAAAUUUGGAGCAUAUUUGUUUCUCUCUAUCUGAUUUCUCCAGAAUUUGGAAACUAUUUGUGAGUAUUCUUAACUUAUGGCAAUAUAGUUAUUUGCAUAAGUGCAUUAAGAAUGUUUUCUUUUGAAGAGACUGGUUGUUUCACCAAGGCUUUUACUGGAAUGGCAUGCUUUCCUUUAAGGAAUCAAACUUGACUUAUAGAGCCAAUAAACAUUCCCUGGGAAAACUGGCCUCAUACCUUGUCUACACAGUCCCUGUACAGGAAUCCUUGUAACCACCCAAGGGAUUCACCUUGCCCACUGCCUAGACAGAGUCGAUUCAUCAAGACAGGGGAAUUUCAAUAGAGAAAGAGUAAUGCAUGCAGAGCCAGCUGUGCAGGAGACUGGAGUUUUAUUAUUACUCAAAUCAGUCUCCCUGAGCAUUUAAGGAUAACUUGGUGGGUUGGGGGAAGCCAGUGAGCCAAGAGUGGUUAUUGGUCAGAAGUGAAAUCACAGGGAAUCAAAGCUGUCUUCUUGUGCUGAGUCAGUUCCUGGGUUGGAGCCACAAGAUCAGAUCAGCCGGUUUGUUGAUCUGGGUGGUGCCAACUGAUCCAUCAAGUGCAGGGUCUGAAAAAUGUCUCAAGCACUGAUCUUAGGAGCUGUUUAGGGAGGGUCAGAAUCUUGUAGCCUCCAGCUGCAUGACUCCUAAACCAUAAUUUCUAAUCUUGUGGCUAAUGUUAGUCCUACAAAGGCAAUGUAGUCCCCAGGCAAGAAGGAGGUUUGCUUUGAGAAAGGGCUAUUACCAUCUUUGUUUAAACUAUAAACUAUAAGUUUUUCCCAAAGUUAGUUCAGCCUAAGUGCAGGAAUAAACAAGGAUAGCUUGGAGUUAGAAGCAAGAUGCAGUUGGUUAAGUUAGAUCUCUUUCACUGUCUCAGUCGUAAUUUUGCAAAGGUGGUUUCGUCCUGACUUGUGGUAAGUAAAGAAUGUCACUUUCUAACAGGCCCAGGAGCCCCAGAUUAUCUUGGGACUUUCAGAAGAAUUUACCCAACUUGUAGGUAUUUAAGUGUACAAACACAUGGCUGGGCUCAGCUUAAAACAGUCUUAUCUGAAAUUCCUUAUGGAACAGAGUUCCAUCAAAGCCAGUUUAAAAAGCCCAUAUGAAAAAUAAUUAUUCUUGGUGCACUUAUACAAAUAAUCAGGCCAAGUAUAAUAAAGCAAAUUGGUGUUACCAUUAUUUGUCUUUAGUAAAAAUGAAAAACUGGAGAGAGAAAAAUCAUGUUUGAAAAACUAUAGGAUACCUGUUGUUAGAUGUUCUUAAGUUUUUCUUUUUUUCUGCAAUUUAGAUUAAAUCCUAAUAUUUUUGUGGGCUACAGGUCCCUAAAUUAAUGUUUUCAAAUCUUUACUUUUAAAACUGGGAAUUGCGCUUUUUAUCCUAGAACUCAUUAUUUACUUUAUAGGACACUGUCCACUUAAAUGCUGUACUGAAAGGUGUUAGUAUAGAUAACAACACUAACACCUUUGUCAUGCAAGCCUUGAAACCCCAGCCAGGCCUGCCUGAGUAUGCUUGGACAGUUGCAAAGCAGUUCUACUCUCCUCCCCUUGGGGUCAACACCUACCCUCACCACAACAAUUUAAUUAGUUACAGUUUGUUUUCUUUUCUGUACUGUUUGUUUUUCUUUUCCUUUCUAAUUUAAAAGAGUGUGUUUAACCCUCCAUCUUAGACAAUGUGAUAGUCAUGAAGUCUUUGUGUAAGAAAAGAAGAAGAAAAGAUAAUCUGUAAUGAAGAUCAAUAAGGGUCUUCUCUGGUGCCCUUCAGUUAACUACUGUCUUUUACAAAACAACGUAGGUAAGGAAAAAAGUUAAUCUAUAACAGAGAAAUAAAAAUCACAUUGGCCUAGGUGACAGCUGCCUGCUUAUGUUGACUCAGGUACCAUAAUCACAUUCCCUUAAGGCUCAGAUAUUUUAAAGUUCCAACAGCUUAGAUUUUAAGUGACCUAUUUUUACAGAGGAAGGAUUCUGAGCAUAUUCUAAGGCAAUGACAUUUAAGUGGACUUUCAGCCUAGUUCAAAGGAAAACCGGGCCUGAUUCAUAAAGAAGGAAAAUUGAGGAUAAAGAACUAUAGGGAAAAAAAAAGUUACCACUAUAGGUGUAUGACAGACAUUUAGACUACAAGGAAGCCUUUGAUGACCCAAAGGCCUGGAAGGGGGUAGGGGGAGGUGAUAAUCAGGGAGAAAAGGCUCAUGUUAUUGUAGUGGCCUUGGAAAUGGGAAAACUGUGGAUGAAAAUGUCGGUAGGAUGGGCACCACAGUUACUCCAGAAGUGAUGUCAGGAGCCAUGCUAAUAGAUGGGAACAGAUUGACUCCAGGAUUCACUAAUGAGGACUGUCUGAAGACUGAUAAUUUGUUUGGGGUAAUUCACCAUCUGUAAUUGUUCAUCAGGCUAAUAUGUCUUGGGCAGUAUAGUUACUUAGGAAAGAGAGUUUCUGGUUUGUGUGAACUGACCUGCUUCAGUCCAUGAGAGGUGAUGAACUGAUACUGUUAUUGAAAUGCCAAGGGUUCAAUCUAGGUCCCAUUACUUGCCACACAGAAAGCCAAUCACUGAGACAACAAGUAUUGACAGGGAAGAAGGCUUUAAUCGGUUGCUGCAGCCAAGGAGAUGGAAGAUCAUUCUCAAAUCUGUCUCUCUGACUGACUAAAAUUGGGGGCCUUUAUAUAGUGGAGGAAGUGAUGUAGCUACAUAGGGAGAGGAAUUAGAGAGGGUUAGGAAGCAAUCAUGAUGAGUGAAGAAUCUGGUGCCUCAUUGUCUGGAUCUGGAGAGCUGAUGGGUUUCAGUUCCUGAGGAAGGAACUCAGAUGUGACAAACGUAAGUUUCAAGUUUUAAGCACCAGGAGGGUCAAUUUCUAUGUUUAUUGAAAAAGCCUUAAAUGUCAUUUCUAUGGGACAAUUGGGCUGUUUUCAACACCCGAAUCUAUAGUUUCUGAUUCUCACUUUUUGUGUGUGCAUUAUUGUUGUUGUUUAUUGUUUUUUAUAAGGGGAGUUUUCUGUAUGUAAAAAUACUUCUCUUAUUGCGUUGAAUUGGUUGUACAAUUGAUCAUAAGAUACUCUAUCAAUAAAAUAACAGAUUUUGGGGAAACAAAAAUACUGCAUGACAUGCAUGUACAUUUCUUUUUCACAUUAAAAAAUACUAUGUACUACAGGAUCACAAUUAAGGUUUGCAUUUAAUCCUUUUAUACAUUUAAAGUCUGAAGAUUCUUCUAGGUCACUUUUUGACAUUGACAAGCUUGUACAACAUCACGGUGACACUGACAUCACUUGGAUAUGAUGACUGAGCAAGAUUGAGUAUGAAGAAUGACCCCCUAGGAUGACUUUUAUAUGACUGAAUGGAGGGUGAUGCCUUUUAGUUGCUACGUAGAGCCAUGGAACAGAUCUGUGGAACUAGAUCAUGAGAUGAAUUUUGGAUAUGUGGAAGCAUUUUGAAACAUUUCUUUGAGAAAUUCAAAUGGAGCUAUCAAAUAACCAACUGGGGCCAGGUACGGUGGCUCACGCCUGUAAUCCAAGCACUUUGGGAGGCUAAGACAGAUGGAUUGCUUGAGCCCAGGAGUUUGAGACCAGCUUGGGAAACAUGAAGAAACCCUAUCUCCACAAAAAAUGCAAAGAUUAGCUGGGUGUGGUGGCACACACCUGUAGUCUCAGCUACUCAAGAGGCUGAGAUGGGAGAAUGGACCCGGGAGGUGGAGGUUGCAGUGAGCCAAGAUCACGCCAUGGCACUCCAGCCUGGGUGACAGCGCAAGACCCUGUCUCAAAGAAAAAAAAAAAGCCAUUGGAUAAAAGUCUGGAAUUGAGUGGCAAGGUCUGUAAAUCUGUGAGUUACCUCCAUCAGGAUGGGACUUAAUAUCAUAAAAUGAUAUUUUAUAAAGGUUGGCAGUGGAGAGGAUCCAAAAUAUUAGGGUAUGGGUAAGGUUUAGAGGCUGGAAGGAUGGUAAUCCAUGAUAUGCAGUGGUGAAACAGUGGAUAAAACUAUCUCCUGCAAAAACUUGGGAGAAGUAUCGUAUAUCUAAUAAAGUUUAGCUUUAGACGACAAGAUGGAAAAAUAGAAUAUUAGAAGCUCAUGUGGGUUUCUAUUGGAUGUAUUUGCCAGACAUUAUUAGAAAGAGAUGAACUCAGAAAAUAAUUACUGUGUUUGGAAUCAGGAAUGAAAAGGAGGACAGAAAAUUAUGAAAUUCAGGGACUUAUUCUUGGAAGAAGCAAUGGCUUUUCAACUUCAACUAGAGAAAGCUAAUACUAAGAAGGCUUCCGAAUAACAAAAGCUGAUUAAAACUAAGCUUUGUGUCAAGGGUCAAACCCGCUGAUAUUAAAACAACUGAAUGAAAUAAGAUGUUUCAGAGUAAGCGUCCAGCCAAAUUUGUCCAGCCCAGUAAAUAAAUACCUUUAGUGACUCAGAAAAAAGAGAUUAAAUGUGAGGCAAUCCCUGUGCAGCCUUAUAAACAGCAGGUAUGCACAAUUAAUUUGUGAGAGAGCAUUUUGAAUGUAAGAAAGCAAAUACAGGGCCAGGUGCGGUGGCUCACGCCUGUAAUCCCAGCACUUUGGGAGGCCGAGGCGGGCAGAUCACGAGGUCAGGAGAUCAAGACCAUCCUGGCUAACAUGGUGAAACCCCGUCUCUACUAAAAAUACAAAAAAUUAGCCAGGCGUGGUGGCAGGUGCCUGUAGUCCCACCUACUCGAGAGGCUGAGGCAGGAGAAUGGCGCGAACCUGGGAGGCAGGGCUUGCAGUGAGCUCAGAUGGCGCCACUGCACUCCAGCCUGCAUGACAAAGCGAGACUCCGCCACAAAAAAAAAAAAGAAAGCAAAUACGUAGGCAUUCUGAGUACCCUGUCUAAGGAGAAAAAUAAAAUCUAGGGACAUAGAACUGACAGGAGUCAGAACAUAAGGGGCUUGUUUUAAGGAGGUGAUAAGCUGGGCAUGGUGGCUCACACUUGUAAUCCAACUUUGAGCAAUCCCUCAAGGAGAAUUACCUGAGGCCAGGAGUUUGAGACAAGCCUGGGCAACAUAGAAAGACCGCCACCCCUCCGCCAAAAAACAAGCUGUCCAUGGUGGGUACCCCUGUAGUUCUAGCUACUUGGGAGGCUGAGGUGGGAGGAUUGCUUUAGCCCAGAAGGUCGAGGCUGCAGUGAGCCAAGAUUGUGUCAUUGUACUCCAGCCUGGGUGAUAGGACAAGACCCUGUCUCUAAUAAAAAUAAACACAUAGGCCAGGGGUGGUGGCUCAUGCCUGUAAUCCCAGCACUUUGGGAGGCCAAGGUGGGCGGAUCACCUGAGGUUAGGAGUUUGAGCCCAGCCUGGCCAACGUGGUGAAACCCCGUGUCAACUGAAAAUACAAAAUUAGCCAGGCGUGGUGGUGUGCGCCUGUGGUUCCAGCUACUUGGGAGGCUGAGGCAGGAGAAUCGCUUAACCUGGGAGGCAGAGGUUGCAGUGAGCCGAGAUAGUGCCAUUGCACUCCAGCCUGGGCAACAAGAGCGACUCCAUCUCAAAAAAAAAAAAAAAAGAAAAAGAAAAAGCGAAAUACAUAAAAAAUUAAAAAAAUAAAGGAGUGAUCUGGCAAAAGAACCACAUGGUCAACCAGAAGCCCGUGACUAACUGAGACCUAACAAUGACCCUGGGUCAUCAACCUGCUAUGGGCAGGAAGUAGCCUGAGAAAGCUUCUCAGUACUCAAGGAGGAGCUUCUAUCCAAUUCCACUUCAAGUGUGACCAAGGAGGGUGACAGAAAAGGAAGAAUCUCCCAGAGGGUGAAGCCAAAGGUCAAGGUGGCAGUUUCAGAGUCUUCUUCUGUGCCUUUCCCACCAGAAAGGCUGUUGUUUAAUGGUCAGAGAGCCAAUGGGAGGCAUUUUUUCAGCUACUGAGUAUAGCCAUCCUUAGGGGUGACUAUCAUACAUUUAGGGGCUGGGGAAAAGAGCAGAGAGUGUGUCUAUGUGACUAACAGUGAGAUGGAUUUGAUUUAUAACUUCCUUUAUUCUUUGGUCUCCAUAUGCUCCCAUGCUAAAGUGUGGUAGGCAUGAUGGCAUUUUGGUUCCCUUAAUACCUGUGUCAGCUCAGACUCUGUAUCAUACAGUCGUGAGUAUUCCCUCUGCUCUGUGAACAGUUAUUCUGGAAAACGGCCAAAUAUGCACCUACACAUUGGAAUAAUACUCUACAUAAAUGAGAAUGAACAAACCACAACUUUACACAACAAUAUUGAUGAGUUUCGCAAACAUAAAGUUGAAUAACAAAAGCAAGAUACAGAAGAGUACAUAGUAUAUGAUUCCAUUUAUAUAAUCAUUAAAAACAGGCAAAACUAGUUUAUCAUCAUUGAAGUCAAGAUAGGUAACCAUUGGGGGGCUAGUAAUUGAGAAGAGAAGAAAUAUGGGAUUUCUGAGAAUGGUUGUAUUGUUCUUUCUCUUGAUCUUAGUGUUGUUUACAUUGUCAUUCUCUGAAAAUGCAUCAAUCUUUACAUUUAUGACGUGCACUUUUCAGUAUGUAUGCUAUACUAUUAAUAUUUUUGUAUAAGUCUUUGCGGGUGGAUCUACAUCUAUUAUUUUUAUAUCUUCAUUUCUUUUAGAUAAUUACCUAUAAGUAGGGCUAUAAGGUCAUAGGCUAUGUUUAAUUUUUUUUUUUUUUUUUUUUUUUUGAGACAGGGUUUCACUCUGUCACCUACGCUCAAGUGCAGUCAGUAGCACCAUCACAGCUCACUGCUUGACCUCCUGGGCACAAGCAAUCUUCCCACCUCAGCUUCCCAAGUAGCUGGGACUAUAGAUGCACACUACCAUGCCCAGCCAUUUUAAAAAAAUUUUUGUAGAGAUGGUGUCUCCCUGUGUUGCUUAGGCUGAUCUCAAACUCUUGGACUCAAGCGAUCCUGCUGCCUCAAAGUGCUGGGAUUACAGGUUUGAGCCACCAUACCUGGCCCUGUUUAAUUUUUUUGACUACUGAAUUUCCUAAAGAAGUUGUAGCAUUUUACACCCCUACUAGGAGUAAAUGAAAAUUCCAGUUGUUCUACAUCCUUGUCAACUCUCGUGAUUGUCUUCUUCAUGUUUGCCAUUCUGGUAGGUGGUCAUGAUUUUAUCUCUUUGUGGUUUUAAUUUUUACUUCCCUGAUAGCUUAUAAUAUCAAGUGCCUGUUCACCAUUCUAAAUACUUAGAACAGGGUCAGGCACAAUGUUAGUGUUCAAUAGAUGUUUAAUGAAUAAAGGAAUUAAAUAUCAGGAAUUUCAACGUUAUACCUUUUACUAAGUAUGUACCAAGCUCUAAACCACAAUUAACAGCAGUAUGCAAAAUAUGACUUUUCUUUAUUUCUACAUGUGAAGUUCCUAAAAGCAGAGUAGUAUUAACUGUUCUCUUUUUAUGUAUAAAAGAGUGGUUAAAAGACUGGGUUCUAGCAACAGACUCCCUGGCUGUCUCAUCUAUUAUCUGUGUGAUUUUAGGAAAUUUAGAAGAUUGUUUCAUGCCUCAGCCUCCUCAUCUGUACAAUUGCUGCCAUAAUAGAAUCUACUUCAUAGUGUUGUUUUGAGGAUUGAAUGAGGCAAUUUAUGCAAUGUAUUUAGAACAGUGCCUGGCAUAUAGUAAGCUCUCAGUAAAUGUUAGUUUUUGUUAUUUUCCAGAUAUGUUUAAAAAAAAAAGCUUACAAUUCUUUUCUAUAAACUGUGUAUAUGAGUAAGAAAAACAUGGCUCCUUUUUACAGUUAAGAAAUUGAAGCUCAACGAGUUAUUGGUUUUUGUUUUGUUUGUUUGUUUGUUUGAGAUGGAGUCUCACUCUAUCACCCAGGCUGGAGUGCAGUGGCGCCAUCUUGGCUCACUGCAACC